rnacentral:rRNA from 1 species
UACGUAGGGGGCAAGCGUUGUCCGGAAUCAUUGGGCGUAAAGAGCGUGUAGGCGGCCCGAUAAGUCCGCUGUGAAAGUCCAGGGCUCAACCCUGGGAGGCGGGUGGAUACUGCUCAGCUCGAGUCCGGAAGAGGAGUGUGGAAUUCCUGGUGUAGCGGUGAAAUGCGCAGAUAUCAGGAGGAACACCAAUGGCGAAGGCAGCACUCUGGGACGGUACUGACGCUGAGACGCGAAAGCGUGGGGAGCAAACAGG